AGUGAACGCUGGCGGCAGGCCUAACACAUGCAAGUCGAGCGGUAAGGCCCUUUCGGGGGUACACGAGCGGCGAACGGGUGAGUAACACGUGGGUGACCUGCCCUCAGCUCUGGGAUAAGCCUGGGAAACCGGGUCUAAUACUGGAUAUGACUCCAUGACGCAUGUUGUGGGGUGGAAAGCCUUGUGCGGCUGAGGAUGGGCCCGCGGCCUAUCAGCUUGUUGGUGGGGUGAUGGCCUACCAAGGCGACGACGGGUAGCCGGCCUGAGAGGCGACCGGCCACACUGGGACUGAGACACGGCCCAGACUCCUACGGGAGGCAGCAGUGGGGAAUCUUGCGCAAUGGGCGAAAGCCUGACGCAGCGACGCCGCGUGAGGGAUGACGGCCU
rnacentral:rRNA from 1 species